UAGCCUUUCGAAAGAAGAUUUAAUACCCGAUAGUAUAGCAUUUCCUCCUGGUUUUGCUAUUAAAGAUUUAUCGGUGAUGGAUGGGGAUGCGUCUGAUUAGCUUGUUGGCGGGGUAACGGCCCACCAAGGCGACGAUCAGUAGGGGUUCUGAGAGGAAGGUCCCCCACAUUGGAACUGAGACACGGUCCAAACUCCUACGGGAGGCAGCAGUGAGGAAUAUUGGUCAAUGGGCGAGAGCCUGAACCAGCCAAGUAGCGUGCAGGAUGACGGCCCUAUGGGUUGUAAACUGCUUUUAUAAGGGAAUAAAGUGAGCCUCGUGAGGCUUUUUGCAUGUACCUUAUGAAUAAGGACCGGCUAAUUCCGUGCCAGCAGCCGCGGUAAUACGGAAGGUCCGGGCGUUAUCCGGAUUUAUUGGGUUUAAAGGGAGCGUAGGCCGGAGAUUAAGCGUGUUGUGAAAUGUAGGCGCUCAACGUCUGCACUGCAGCGCGAACUGGUUUCCUUGAGUACGCACAAAGUGGGCGGAAUUCGUGGUGUAGCGGUGAAAUGCUUAGAUAUCACGAAGAACUCCGAUUGCGAAGGCAGCUCACUGGAGCGCAACUGACGCUGAAGCUCGAAAGUGCGGGUAUCGAACAGGAUUAGAUACCCUGGUAGUCCGCACGGUAAACGAUGGAUGCCCGCUGUUGGUCUGAACAGUCAGCGGCCAAGCGAAAGCA
rnacentral:rRNA from 1 species